UGCAAGUCGAACGGUGAAGCCCAGCUUGCUGGGUGGAUCAGUGGCGAACGGGUGAGUAACACGUGAGCAACCUGCCCCUGACUCUGGGAUAAGCGCUGGAAACGGCGUCUAAUACUGGAUACGAGACGUGACCGCAUGGUCAACGUUUGGAAAGAUUUUUCGGUUGGGGAUGGGCUCGCGGCCUAUCAGCUUGUUGGUGAGGUAAUGGCUCACCAAGGCGUCGACGGGUAGCCGGCCUGAGAGGGUGACCGGCCACACUGGGACUGAGACACGGCCCAGACUCCUACGGGAGGCAGCAGUGGGGAAUAUUGCACAAUGGGCGGAAGCCUGAUGCAGCAACGCCGCGUGAGGGAUGACGGCCUUCGGGUUGUAAACCUCUUUUAGCAGGGAAGAAGCGAAAGUGACGGUACCUGCAGAAAAAGCGCCGGCUAACUACGUGCCAGCAGCCGCGGUAAUACGUAGGGCGCAAGCGUUAUCCGGAAUUAUUGGGCGUAAAGAGCUCGUAGGCGGUUUGUCGCGUCUGCUGUGAAAUCUGGGGGCUCAACCCCCAGCCUGCAGUGGGUACGGGCAGACUAGAGUGCGGUAGGGGAGAUUGGAAUUCCUGGUGUAGCGGUGGAAUGCGCAGAUAUCAGGAGGAACACCGAUGGCGAAGGCAGAUCUCUGGGCCGUAACUGACGCUGAGGAGCGAAAGGGUGGGGAGCAAACAGGCUUAGAUACCC
rnacentral:rRNA from 1 species